rnacentral:rRNA from 1 species
UACGUAGGGUGCGAGCGUUGUCCGGAAUUACUGGGCGUAAAGAGCUCGUAGGUGGUUUGUCACGUCGUCUGUGAAAUUCCGGGGCUUAACCUCGGGCGUGCAGGCGAUACGGGCAAUACUUGAGUGCUGUAGGGGAGACUGGAAUUCCUGGUGUAGCGAUGAAAUGCGCAGAUAUCAGGAGGAACACCAAUGGCGAAGGCAGGUCUCUGGGCAGUUACUGACGCUGAGGAGCGAAAGCAUGGGUAGCGAACAGGAUUA